CUCCCUCUCUCUUCUUUCUCCCUCCCCUCCAGGGUGUAGAGAAAGGGCUGGAGGACUCACGAGUGGAAAUGAAGAAUAAGCUGAGUUCUCCUGGGUCAGGGCCUGACUGCUAAAAAGAGAGGAGCAGUGACUGGGGACCCCUGGUGCCACCCUUACCUCAUCAGAGUUUGGA